CGUGUAGGCGGCGCCUUAAGUCAGGUGUGAAAGCCCGGGGCUCAACCCCGGACGUACCGCCUGAAACUGGGGUGCUUGAGGACGGAAGAGGGGAGUGGAAUUCCUGGUGUAGCGGUGAAAUGCGUAGAUAUCAGGAGGAACACCCGUGGCGAAGGCGGCUCCCUGGUCCGUUUCUGACGCUGAGACGCGAAAGCGCGGGGAGCGAACG
rnacentral:rRNA from 1 species